GUUUGCUCUCUCUGUCUCUUUCUCUCUCUCUCUCUCUCCGCUUAUCUUCAUAUCGACAUUCCUUUGUGUAUUAUCGCGUUUGUGAGGUUUUAAUUGGUGAAUGUUAACGUGUAUAAGUUCUAUUGUUUGUCUGAAUCUUUUCUAGGGCUUGGAAAUAUGCUAUAUUUCUGAGGACUUUAAUGCUUUAUGUCUGCUUGGAUAAACGUUUGGGAUACUCUUUGGUCUGAAUAUUUGAAUCUACAUGGAGAGAAACAAUAAUAGCCUCUCAACAAUGUAAGAAAAAGCAAUCUUCAUCAAUGCGCGUCAAUUCAUAAAGAACCACAGAUUCAUAGAGACACUUUUGAUACCAUAUUGGCAAUUGAGUAGAAAUUUUGCAGUUUUGACACCAAUACUUCAGGAGAUUGGGUCGUUAUGUGCACUUUGAGACUUGUUCUGUGUUACUUUGGUAGGACUUGAAUUGCAGAAAUGAUCAUAUAACUGGCUCUCAGUUAUCUUAGCUACUCUUAAAUCCUGUUGUGUAACUGUGUGUUUGAACAUAUUUCAUAAGCUCAGAUUUUCUACUUGAA